AAAAAAGGUAACCGUGCAUGGAGGAAUUGUUAAGAAAAUAUAGUGCGUGCUAAAACCUUUAAUUUGGUUCCUGACAGAGAAUAAGUCGUAAAAUACGAAGUUAUAAUUAGAUGUCAAUGCCCUUCGUACGUGACCGAUGCGUUAACGGAAGAGGUUAAAAGUAAUAUAUACCGAAUUAAGCUUAACUUUGGUCCAUCGAGCGACAGCCGUUUGUUGCCCAACACAGCUGGUCAGUGUUCUAAGGAGCGAACCUGUCCACCCUUUACCGAAGACCGAUAGGGUUAAGCCCUAAAUCUGGAUCAAAUUGCAUCAGCUGUUGCCGAAUGUCAAGGAUUUUUCAAAUAAUCUGAUAACAUCAGUCACUUAAACAUCGCGCUCGGAACUUAGCCGGCGGCCAUUAAGCUCACGCAUCUUCAAGCUGAAUAAUCGAGUUGGACAAGUUCUAUUAGUCCACGAGCCAGCGUGGAACAAUGGAAUGUUUUCCGUUUUCGCCACUCAUUCAUCAAUUUAGCACCUUAACGGAAGGACAGAGCGUGCGCUGCCGCUGAUUUUCUCCUAGGCAGGCUGGCGAACGUCUCUAUACAUCAGUGAUCAUUAGUGCUGCAUUCAAGUUUUUCUUGGAUCUUUUAAAAUUAUAUUUUUAUAGAACAUGAAAUCUUCGUGGCAAUGGAAUUAUGCGUUUCUUGCGUUGUCUGGGGUUUGUAUAUUACUAUCUCAUAAGAAUGUGGAUACAGAAUGGUGUAGACAGAGACGUAAAGGUAACAGACUAGCUAACAACCUUAUCGUAAACAUUGUAGUUUACAUACUUUUUGAAUCAAUAGAAAAAGAUGAUAUAUUCAUAGAAAAUACGUAUUUUUUCAAUUAUAGUAUCUCUUAUUUUUGUAGACAGUUCGGGUACUUGUUGAUAGUUUUCUCUACUCAACGUACAACAGAGAAGAGGUUAAUUCUUUGUGAAAUUAUAAAUUGAAAAGACUUUUAUAUAUAAAGCUCCGUUUUCGUUGUAUACACUGGUUUGGAUACAUUCUGAACUAAUAAAAUAAAAUGUAUAUAGUUAUAUAAAAUACGAAGUAUCUCUGCAAUCGUAGUACAACAGAGAACACAGUAAUUCUUCGCGAGAGUAUGAAUGAAAAGUAUGAAAUAAAAUUUUUACAUACUUUGUUUUCGAGGAAGAUAACUUUGAAAAUCCAUCACGUAUAUGUAUACUAAUUUUAACUUUUUGAAUGAGGAAUCUCCACUUUUCUAAUCGUAUCUAAGAUUGUAGAAACACCCUGUAUAAAACAGAAGUCUCUUCGCGUCACUUUUAACAGAAAAGGUGGAUCUUCCAGUAAAGAGUUACUUUGCCAACUAGAUGCAAGAAUUCUUGGUAAUCCGUAUUACUGUUUGACCAUCGUUCAAUCGACAAAACUCUUGCUUACAGUGUAUCGUGUACCAGUCAGCUUGCAACUCAACUGCAAUGGCAGUCGGUAGCCACGUCUGAUUUCAUUUCUCGAAAAGGCAAAUCCUCGAGAAACGCUCGCUCAGGUGGAAUGAAGGAAUCACUUUCGAUUAAGCGUUAGCGCGAUAUCCUGGCAAUUGCUACUUACUCUGCGACGAAUAUUAAUAUUAGUAUCGAUUAAAAUUAUUAGCACUAUUUAGUAGUACAAUUAUUAGAUGUUGCGAUCGUGUUACCUCCUCAAAUAAUAUUCAUAAUACUUCUUUGCCGUUUUUUCAUCCGAUAACAUUAUUUUAACAGAGGAAUGCUUUUGUUAAUUAUCAGACGGGCGAAAUAGUUAUUACGGUUGGAAGAUCGGGAACGCAGAUUUGCUCUUGAAAAGAAAUUUCAAAGACUGUGUGUAAGAAAUUGGACUAUUGUCGAUAUUAAUAUACAUUGGCGUAAUUUAAGCGAUGUAGGAGAGGAUGUUUUGUAAUAAUCUUUCGAGUUAAUUAGACUCUCAGGUAAUUUUUAAAUAAUGCUAAGAUUAACUUAAAAUUAUAUUGUUAAAGUGAUAGCGAAUGAGAAGAGAACAAGGCACAGAGGGCAGCACAGGCUAAAGAAUACAUAAAUUGGCACGGGUUAAGGAUUAUAGUUGGCUAUAGCCUAAGGGAACCAUAAAUUAUUUUCAGGAGUUUUCUUAACUUUCUGUUAACUCUUUAUAACACCGAGUCACAUUCAUAACAUAGAUCACGUGUCCAAAUGAAUAAAGCAAAAUUCUAUAUCUGUUACGAAUCUUGGCUUUAGUUUCUAUUUUUCAGGUAAAGUAUUAUUAAAUAUAAAUUAUUAGAAAAUAGGUUACCUGUUCUACUCGUAUGUAUAUAUUAUGUAUGUUUCAGCGAGGUCGCAGAAAAUUCUUCAAAAAUUUCAGUCCAUACUUCUCAAAUAUAAAAUGUCUUACAAUUAUCCAUCUCUGCUUCGAUAGAGUUUCCACAAAAUCUCACUUGGAUAGAGUUUCCUUUAAGUAAAAUACGUUUCGCGUAACAUUUCUUCAUGAUAAAAUUUCUUUUAGAUUAAAUUUUUUCUCGUCAAUAAUGUUCGGCGUGGUCAUGGUUCCCAGCGAAAGUUGCUAGUAGAAGAACGACGAAUUAUUAUAUCCCUCGGGUGGCGCAACGUCAGUCGACCAAGUGCACUUAAGCUCGAACAUGAAUGUAAUUCUCGCACGCUCGCGCGAGCCUAUCGUCACACAUGCAAAACACGUAUACACGAGGUAAAACACAGGGAAACAGCAGCGUGGCCGCGGUUUCGAAGCAUGCAUGCCAGUCAGGCUUCGUUCAAAGGCCCCCGAUUAAAUCUCACCUGGCUUAAUAUUAUUAUUUUACGUGGCGCCUGCGAGUGAAAACGAGCGACCCGACGAGAGGGCGAGGAAAUUAGAGAGAGUGCGAGGGGCGGGCAGGGAAGGUUGGAUAAUGCCAGUGGAUAAAAGCAAAUGGAACAGUGCAGGAAACACUGGCCGAAUAUCGUUCACGUGAACGAUCUUUGUACCGUCUAUGCAACCGUAAUUUCAGUUAUUUAGCCUCUCCUCCGACCUCCCCGGUUAUUCGUGAGUAGAAACAUUGUUCUGCUUAGGUGUUUCCAGGUCUAUUACUAUUCAGAACUAUUCAAAAACUGCUCAAAAAGAUGCUUUCGUCAUUAAGGAGUCGUUCGAUUGCUGUUUGUAAUUUAUUGAGUUGGCAACUAAAUGAUUGCGGAUUUUGUCAUUAGGUGACAUUGACAAAAUCCGCAACCACUUAGUUGCCAACCCAAUAUACUUUUUUAAGGUCGGUGGAAAAAUGUAUAGAGUAAGGAGGUAGGAAUUAAAUGAAGCUUUUAUAGAAUCGAGAUGUUGCAUGGUUUUAACCCGUUCACUGUGAAUCAGAUUUUUGUUACAUAUAAAUUGCCUUGUUAACAAAUAGUUCUGCGCCACACCUGUAUCUAUGCAGUCAAUCUUUAUAUGUAUAUAAAUUAUAAUUAUUCGAACAUCUAUUACGUCCAUUAUAUCUAUUACAUCUAUCACACUAUGUAUACAAUGGUUCACGUGGAAGUAUUAUUAUAUAUACAUAAUGUAUUAUAUUAUACACGUUACACGAAACAUUUUGAAAUAUCACGAGUAAAGAUAUGACUAUUAUGAUUGUAUUGGUUACACAAAAAGUUUAUUUUUUACGGUGAGUGUUCAAAUGUUAUUGAUAGAUUGUACAUGUCUUAAAGUUAAAUAUUCAUCGAUUAUUCGAGUGCUACGAAUAAUUAUAUGCGUUAUUGUAUAUCUGAUAGAAAUCGACAUUUGGUUUGUAUCACGCAUCUAAGUUGAUAUCAUACACAUAUCCUGAAAGUACGUGUCGACUGGUCAUAUGUAGUGAAUGUGUUAAUUACAAGCUUUAAUCGGUUCGUUUCAUUAUAUGUACGUUGAUAAUUCGUUCUGAAAGGAGGGAAAAAAGGAGAAAAUCGAAUCGAAAAUAAAACAGGAGAGGUAAAACGAAUCGAGAUCGAGUCUUGCGAAAACAUUAAGAUCAACCUUGUCUAGAGUUCCUACUCUCGAUCCGGUUCUUCGAGGAUGCGUUUAUUAAUCGCAGAAUUGCGAUCCUGCGUGUCGAUAGGGAAAAUAUUGCCAUGUAAUAUGUAGACAUUCGUUUUUCAUCGUUAUAAUUUAUCAAUUGUUAAAUAAUUAUGCCACCUAUAAUAGUAUAAUGUAUCGUAUCCUGUGAUACAUACAUAAUAAAUUUAACGCAGGGACUCUAGUCACGAUAAUUUUCAAUUUUUUAGAUAGUUACAAAAUUCAAGGAAAUUUUCUUCUAACCGUAAUAUUAAAUUACGUAAAGAAAAAUUAAUUGCAAAUAUACAAUCGAAGGAAAGGAUGAAAAAAGUUAAUAUUAUUAAUAUCAUGAAAAUAUUAUUUCUUAUUGUGGUUACUAAAAAGAAAGUCGAUUAAUGGUAAUAAAUUUUUAUCUAUUUUCAUUGCAUUCUGAUUAUUUCUAAUUCGUUCUAUUUUCCUAAUUAAAUUUAAUGAAUUCCAGGAUGAUAUGUACGACGAUUUGGUACAUCGAACAAGCUUCUUUAAUGGUGCCGAUAAAAUCGUAAGAUGUUAAUCCGUUGAUCACACGGGAUCAUUUGGCCUUGUGGUAGAGAACGUGCCCCUGUUAGACGAGCAUUACGCAAUUCAAAUAUUAUUCAAAGGCUAAAAGCUAGGGGGGCAGGGCGCAGAUGACGUAGAAAGGAACUAGAGGGGAUGAAAUGUGUGCGUGCGAGCAGCCAUAGGGUAUUAUGUUACCGGAAAGAUGGACCUGGAUAAGGGCACCAGUUUCCUUCCUCUUCGGAUUUUCUUCGUUGUCGAUCAAUGAUUUUCUUCUCUUUUCGAGAAAAUUUCACUGUAAAUCGAGGAUAAAAUUUUGAUCGGCUGUGCUUGA